AUAUAUUUAUAUUCUAAGCCAUUAGGUAGAGGGUAUGACAAAAUAGAAAAGUCAAGAGUGACUGUCAGGAAUUUUUCCAAGGUUUGACCUAACCUCUGAACUUCUUUGUUUUCUCAUCUGAAAGAUAUGAAUGAAUACUCUCUUCACCGGAGAACUGAUUUGAGAACUGAGUGAAUCUACUAUGAGAACUGUACCAGAACUACUCUACACCCUUAACCCUUGGCAUAGAACAGCAC
rnacentral:lncRNA from 1 species